GUUCUCGGACUCUCCGACUGAGCCUCUAACUCCUUUUCGGACAUCCCCACCGCGCGCUCCGGCGCCCGCUACUCCAGCCUACGGCCGGCCGGUUUAGCUCCAGGCCCGCUCCCCCGCGGAGCCGGAGGACACCCAGGGACUGGAGACUUCGCGGGACUCCCCACCCUUCCACGCCUCUCAGAUUUCCAGGCGCUGGGGGCCCUGUGCGAACUUGACUGGCUUCAGAAAAGCCGAAGGCCGAGUUUGUACUGGCGCGCCCAAGUUGCGUUCUGGACUUUGGAGAUGCCAACUUUAGCCCGGACACCUGGGCUGUGCCAUCCGGACCACUCGGGCCGCACAGAGUAUGCGUGACCCUCCCCAUUCCCUGGCAGCCUCGAGUUCUGUCUCUCUCCGUCUGUUUCACUCUCUCCCCUUGUCAGUAUCCACUUCCUCCAGCUGAGGGGCCUUGUCUCACUAUUGGGAAACGCUCUGCAGAUGUCAAGGCUUAAGACAGGAGCUCCCGCCCCCACCCCUGUGGUCAAGGAGGGCCAGGAUCGGGGUGAGCAGCCAAAGCGAGGGGGGAGUGUGGAGGCAGUGCUGCUGUGUUUGAGGACAGUGUUCAUCUCUUGACAGGCUUAUAAAACACAUCUUGAGUUACAUUCAGUCCAUAAAAAUCUUCCUAUGCUAUGGGUGUCUGACUUUGUCUUUCACAACUUAGAAUUAUUUUUAACUCUUUAAUUUCUUUGGGACUUUCCCAGGUAGAAAAUCUUCAACCAUACUGGACCGAAAACAGAUUCUGAUUUAUAAUACGAGUGUUGGAGUGAACGUCAAAACGUCCAAGGUCAUUUUGACCUUUCUUAAAACAGAUAAUUACUAGCCUACCUGUAGCCACCGAUGUGGCUCAUUUCCCACAUCCAAAGAGAGAAAUGAGUUAGUUUGAAUGACUGUUAUUCUUAAAAUACGUGUACGGGACCAGGCGUUAGUCUCACUUAGGGCGCUGGUGAAGAUUCAUUCAGUAGCUAGUGUUCUUUUAUCAUGGAGGAGUUUGGAGUUUUUCAAACGUUAUUUGUGGCUUUAUGCAUAACUUACUUUGACUUUAUCAGUCAAUGCAUCGCAGUAUGGGAAUGAUUUAGCCCUCUGUGGAAAUGCAGUGGCUUUUUAGAACAAUUAAGCAGGUUAUUUUAAGAGAGAACAACAUGUUUUCCAAAACAAUAACUUGGUGGAAACAAAUAGCAAGAGUGUUUGGCAGACGUUUUUUGGAUGUGCUACAGGCUUUCCUCCCUUGUUGCUUAUUUUUAUUGACAAACAUCCCUAAUGUGUGUCAUGUCUUUCUCUGUCUCUCCCCUUCCCUCUCUUUUUUUCUCAAAUUAUGUAACUUUUGAGGACAGUUACUUCUGUGAUAAACUCUUCAAGUAAGACCGUUAUAAGAUAGAUUUGGAAAUUAAAGCCCCAGUUGCAUUUCAGUAACUCA
rnacentral:lncRNA from 1 species